GAGAUCUGUUUCAACUUUAUGUGCACCCGUGAGAGGCCAGUCCAAGGUGUGAGAAUACUGCUUCACCUUGUACUUGCCUUGUUUGGGGUUUCUGCAUUUCCCAGAGAGCCCACACGAGGCUCAGGAUGAAGAGAAGCAAUGAAGACAAGAGCCCUGACUUCUUUUGUUGACACCUGCCUCUGUGGUCUCAGAGAGGCCCUGUGAGGCCCAAGAUAAAGGAGGCAGUGAGGUCAAGAGCCCAGCCAUCUAUCACUGACACCUGCCUCUGGGAGUCUCAGGUUUGCUAUUGCCACAGAGGGAAUCUUAGACAUUGUCUAAACCUCAUCUGCACCCAUGAGAUGGCAUUUGAAGGUGUGAACAUAUUUCUCCAACAUGGACUUGCCUUUGUCAUCAUUCCUGGCUUUCCCAGACAGCUGCUGUGAGGGCCAGGAUGAAGGGAGAGAGUGAGGGUAAGGGCCCAGCCAUCCUUUGUGGACAUGUGUUUCAGGCAUCUCAUAUAUGAUUCCAUCACCCAAAGAUCCCUUAACCUCUCACCAGACUGUAUUCCAAUCCUGACGGGAUCAGAUUAUUGCACACAGCCUCUCAGGAAUGGAGUCAAAAGAGUAGUUUUCAGUGACCAAAUCACAGUCUCAAAAUGCCUUCUCCUUCAGCAGGACAAGACCGUGGAGGUGUCCUGAGGGGGCCCUAAGGUCAAGCCUUCUAGGGUCCCGCAGUGGGUUAUUGCAGGCAGCCUUCUUUUUCUUUACCAGGCCACCUCUGCCUGUACCAUUUUCCUCUGCUUAAGCAGUGUGACUACUCUGACAGCUGGACAUCCAAGUAUGCCUUGUGAAUGUGCAUGCACUAGUCUCAGGACACCAGACCUGAGCUGUGAACUCUGGCCAGCAACACAUUGAAGGCCACCAUUGCCUAGGGGCAAGUCUCUGCAACAUGGUGGUUAAGGAGACCUGCGUGGAGAUGCAUCAGUGGUGGACCCUUGCCUGUCUUCCCUGUGGGGUCCAUGGAAUAGUCCCAUGAUCAUAGGAGAGGGCAGACAUGAGCCAGCCUUAAGAAACUUCAGGCACAUCCCGAGGAAUAAACCGCUAAUUCCCUAAGGAUAAAAAAAAUCUUCAGGAUGCCUCAGGCCUAUCUAGAUUUUGUGAGCCUGAGUCUUUCUGAAACUUGCUCCACUUUGAUUUCUAGUUACAGCACGCCCAUGUUCCCCAGGGUUGCUCUCUCCCAGGUAGGGCUUCAGGCAGAAUCACACAGCUUCAAAAGCUGCCGGGAUGUAUGUUACUGUGAUAGUGUUGGAUGUCUUCGUGUAUGUGUGGCUUAGUGUGUAUAUGUUUGUGUGCCUUUAAAUAAAGUCUGCUUAAAGAAA